rnacentral:lncRNA from 1 species
AGCCGUAAGCUCCAUUUCCUUCGUUUCCUGUCAAGUUCUUUGUGAUCGGAGAUUCUUUUUAUUUCUUUUCGUGCUGGAUUUGCCUAUGUUCUGGAGUCUUGAGCAUUUUCCAACUUUUUUUUCUUUUUUUUUCCUUUCCCAAUCCUUGAGCUUGAUGAAAGAGAGAUGGAAUUAUGGACUUCAUAUACGAAACACAAUACCCUCAACCGAAGGUACUUUUUUUUUGUGGGAUAUUUUUUCAACUUUUUCAAUUAAAUUUAUCGUGUGAUCUUGAUUUUGAGGGUUUCAAUUCGAAAUUGCUUAAAUGAUUUUUUUCUGCGGAGAGGGAACCUCAAUGUGAUUUUUUUUUUUUUAAUGCAAAUGUAUGUUGAGAGGGGAAAGAGUGUGAAGCAUCUGAUAAUCCUUAUAGCGAAAGCUGAUGUAAUCACUAAAUAUUGGAUGUCUUUCCCAUAUCAAAACAGAAUCUUAAUGCUUGCCUGCCUGCUUCCAUUGUGGCUCGCAAGUUUGGCUUUUCUGUUACAUGCCAUGCUAAUUUUCUUUUUAGGUAGCCAUUUUCCUAGUUUUCUAGUUUACUUGAUCUUUAUCAUCUCAUCACUAAAGUCUUUUGAAGCCAUGAGCAACGAAAGUAGGUUAAAAUAUUCUAGUAAAAAAAGAAGAAUACGUAAGGAGAAAUCAAAAUGAGGUGUACCAAAAAUAUUUGGUAGUAACUGAUAUUUAAAUGAUGUCCAUUUACUGUGAUAUGUGCUUGUAAAUAUUUUUAAUAGUAAAUAUAUUCUAUUUUAGUAAAUGGUAUUUUGUGAGUUUCAGUCUUCAAUGCCCUAAUUUAUCAUCUUACGAGCUCACAGUAAAUAUUUUACAUCCAAAAAUGCUAGGAUAGAUUAUUACUUUUAAUGAUAAAAGCAGAUAAGAAUACGUAUUAUUUAAAGUCUUCAAAAAAAAACAAAAAUUUUACCAACAAUGACCUCGUCAAUAUAUAUCAACUUCCAGUUCUAUUUGCACUAGAUUUGUAUUUAAGGACAAACAGAUGACAUGCAAG